UACAGAGGGGGCAAACGUUGUUCGGAAUUACUGGGCGUAAAGGGCGCGUAGGCGGCCUGUUAAGUCGAACGUGAAAUCCCCGGGCUCAACCCGGGAACUGCGUCCGAAACUGGCAGGCUUGAAUCCGGGAGAGGGAUGUGGAAUUCCAGGUGUAGCGGUGAAAUGCGUAGAUAUCUGGAGGAACAUCGGUGGCGAAGGCGACAUCCUGGACCGGUAUUGACGCUGAGGCGCGAAAGCCAGGGGAGCAAACGGG
rnacentral:rRNA from 1 species